AGGAAAGUCUAGUCCCUUAUAAACAAACGCCAUAGUGUUGUGAAUGCGAUAACGUUAGCGCUUAGGUAAGCGAACGGGGAUACAAUAGCUCUUAUUCCUCUCGCAACGAGAAUGAAAGCGUUUGCCCCUCCGAAGUUUGUUUGAGGAUAAGGUUUAAUAUAUUGAAUAUCGCUUGGUUUUGCCCAGAAGAAUUGCUGCGGGGGUGGGCGCUGCCUCACUCAACUAAACUUAGCUUACCGCU
rnacentral:RNase_P_RNA from 1 species